GAUGAACGCUGGCGGCGUGCUUAACACAUGCAAGUCGAACGAAGCAAUUAGAACGGAUUACUUCGGUUUGAAGUUCUUUAUGACUGAGUGGCGGACGGGUGAGUAACGCGUGGGUAACCUGCCUUGUACUGGGGGAUGGCAGCUGGAAACGGCUGGUAAUACCGCAUAAGCGCACAAUGUUGCAUGACAUGGUGUGAAAAACUCCGGUGGUAUAAGAUGGACCCGCGUCUGAUUAGCUAGUUGGUGAGAUAACAGCCCACCAAGGCGACGAUCAGUAGCCGACCUGAGAGGGUGACCGGCCACAUUGGGACUGAGACACGGCCCAGACUCCUACGGGAAGCAGCAGUGGGGAAUACUGCACAAUGGAGGAAACUCUGAUGCAGCGACGCCGCGUGAGUGAAGAAGUAAUUCGUUAUGUAAAGCUCUAUCAGCAGGGAAGAUAGUGACGGUACCUGACUAAGAAGCUCCGGCUAAAUACGUGCCAGCAGCCGCGGUAA
rnacentral:rRNA from 1 species